ACACACACACACACACACACACACACACACGUCCUCGUGAGCGCGCAGAUGCAGUGCGCGUGAGAGCGCAAGUCUCUUAGCUCUUACAGCAGACUCGAACUGAACGUAGCUCAGUCACCUUCAUCUUCAUCACCACUGAACCUGUCAGCAUGUUACUUCUCCGCUGUAUUGUGUAUUUAACUCUGCUGCUGGUGGCUGAGAGUGGAGUGGGCUCGAGUAAUUCCACAAGCAGUUACUGCACCGAGUCUAAGGAGUGCCUGCAGUUUGAGUUGGUGUGCCAGACAGACGAGUAUGAAGUGCGACACUACUCUUCUACUCGGUGGGUGUCCACUGACGCUGAAGCUUAUCUCAUGGGCGUUGGAGCAGCCAUGGCCUUCAGACGUCUCUAUCAGUACAUCACUGGAACCAACCAAGCAGGUAUUCAGAUGGAGAUGACCGCUCCAGUUUUAGUUGAAGUACCAGAAGAGACCCACACAUGGGAGCCAGCACUCUACACACUGAACUUCCUGCUCCCUUCAGUCUUUCAGAGUGAACGUCCUCCUGACCCGAUCGAUGACAAGCUGUAUUUUACAGAGAUGCCUGAGAUGAAUGUGUACGUGAGGAGUUAUGGUGGAUGGAUGCUCUCGGUCUCAUCUCGACUCCACACACACCUGCUAACCAAAGAGCUGCAGAGAGUCAACGCUAACUACAACCACACACACCACUAUGCUGUGGGCUAUGACAGUCCUCUGAAACUCUUUCACAGACAUAAUGAGGUGUGGUACCUGGUGAACGGCGAGCCAGUGUGUAAUGGAACGAUGCAGAACACCACCGAUAUCACCGCUACUGCUAACACUACUAUCACCGCUAAUGCUAGCACUGCUAAUUCUUCUACUACUGCUAGCACUGCUAAUUCUUCUACUACUGCUAGCAAUGCUAGUUCUUCUACUACUGCUAGCAAUGCUAAUACUUCUGCUACUGCUAGCAAUGCUAAUUCUUCUACUACUGCUAGCACUGCUAAUUCUUCUACUACUGCUAGCACUGCUAAUUCUUCUACUACUGCUAGCACUGCUAAUUCUUCUACUACUGAUAGCACUGCUAAUUCUUCUACUACUGAUAGCACUGCUAAUUCUUCUGUGGCAACUGAUCCUACUGCUACUGAAUAACCAGGACUUGUGGGUGAUCGUGUCUAUGGAACCCAAAAAUCUACAGGAAAUAACAGACCAUCCAGGUACCUCUGGGAUCCAUUGAGACAAUUUCCAUUGUCUCAAAGCAGCUUUACAGAAUUAUAGAAACAGAAGAGAGUUGGGCUACUGAUCGGAAGGUCAUGGGUCCGAACCCCAGGUCCACCAAGCUGCCACUGCUGGGCCCCUGGGCAAGACCCUUAACCCUCAAUUGCUCAGUUGUAAGUCACUCUGGAUAAGGGUGUCUGCUAAAUGCCAUAAAUGUAAAUGUAUCCCUACUGAUCAAGCCGAGGCGACGGCGGCAAGGAGAUGAUAUGAGGAAGAAACCUUGAGAGGAACCAGGCUCAGAAGGGAAUCCCAUCCUCAUUUGGGUGACACUGGACAAGAACUAAUGUCAAUGUAAAUAAUGUCCUUUCUACAACAGUUUAUCAUAGUGCAAACGAGAGCUCCUGAGGAACUGAGUUCAGCACAGACCCAAUAAUAAUUCCUUCCUGUCAAAGUCUUCAUAUGAUUGCUGAUAAAGUCCAGACCAUACAGCUGACUGACACAACAUUAGUUCAAGACAUGACAGUCUCCAGGUGGCUCCAUUCACAACAAUCCCAUGAGACUCUGGCUGACCAUGAAGAUCAAUCCCUGGCAGGGUAACCACCAGGAGACGAGACCAGGGGUAGAACAUCAGGAUUGACAAAGUAGCUCCGCUCCAGUGAAAUCGGCUUUGAAAUUCUGCAUGUCUUCAGAAGAUGAACGAUGUGACCAAACUGGGACCUCCGUAAGCCGACUCGGUUCCCAGAUCCAUCUCUAAAUAUUGCCAAGAAUCUUUUCUCCAUCAUCCAGGAAACAGGGUGAAAAAGUCCUCAGCUUUAGUUUAUCUUGGUUAAACGUCAGUAUAAAAAGGGUUCCUUGUGCAUUCUUUGGGUGACUCUGUUUGCUAAGGGAUGUCCUUGAGUUUAUUACAUUUUAAUUUGCUGCUUCAGGAAUCAGGAUUGAUGUCAUCAUAUCAGAAGCUGCUGACAUUUUCCAUCUGAUGUAAUUGUGAUAUAAUGCCACAGAUCUCCAUGCUGCGUUCUCUAAUAAAACAACAUCAUAUCUGUAAUAAAACAAUAUCAUAACCUUCAAA